rnacentral:tRNA from 1 species
GAGGAUAUAGCUUAGUGGUAGAGUGUGUGCUUAGCAUGCAGGAGGUUCUGGAUUCAAUCCCCAGUGCCUCCA